GACGAACGCGGCGGCGUGCCUAAUACAUGCAAGUAGAACGCUGAAGGGAGAGCUUGCUCUUCUGGAUGAGUUGCGAACGGGUGAGUAACGCGUAGGUAACCUGCCUGGUAGCGGGGGAUAACUAUUGGAAACGAUAGCUAAUACCGCAUAACAUUGACUAUUGCAUGAUAGUUAAUUGAAAGGUGCAAAUGCACCACUACCAGAUGGACCUGCGUUGUAUUAGCUAGUUGGUGGGGUAACGGCUCACCAAGGCGACGAUACAUAGCCGACCUGAGAGGGUGAUCGGCCACACUGGGACUGAGACACGGCCCAGACUCCUACGGGAGGCAGCAGUAGGGAAUCUUCGGCAAUGGACGGAAGUCUGACCGAGCAACGCCGCGUGAGUGAAGAAGGUUUUCGGAUCGUAAAGCUCUGUUGUAAGAGAAGAAACGAGUGUGAGAAGUGGAAAG
rnacentral:rRNA from 1 species